CAACUUCAGCUGAGUGUAGUGCCCUACUCUAGAUGGUGUCAUUCACAUCCACUAAAGCAUGAUUAUCACCUUUUUGAGUAGAGUAAUGCACAUCAUAUGCGUCCUAUGUGGUGGC
rnacentral:miRNA from 1 species